AAGAAAGGUGAUAUGAGUAUUUUCUUCUGCCUGCAAAGUGUCAAUGCUGUGACUCCUGGGUGCAAAUCUUCUGAUGAGAUCCUGGUAAAGAAUGCACAAAAUCUGCUCCAGACAGUCUUACGUGGGGUUCGAGCUGCAGAAACAGCAUGCAUUAAAGGUCUGAAGCAGCCUGAGCCAAAUUCGGAUGGUGCAGAGGCUACAGCUUUGUGUUUCCAGUGGAAGAGAAACCUGGAGAUCCAUCGAGCCCAGCAGACCUCUAACCCAGAUACAGAUGAGCUGGGACUGAGGAAGACGUCGGCGCACCCUUUAGCCCCAAGUCUUGCCCCACAGGUUAAUGUAUAAGACAGCUACAACUGUAUUUUGAAAAGGAAGAAAAUAAUGCAUAAAAAUAAUGUUUCAUGCAUAAGCUGUGUGUCCUGCUCCGAGAAAUCAGAUGGAUGAAUUGUAUUAGAGCUGGUGGUUAAAAAAAAAAUGCACAGCACGCACACAUUGCAACACUGGUGUCUGGUUCUGAAAUAAAACUGGUGCUGUUUCCUGUCUUUAUUCCAGAUAUUUGUAACAAACUCACUGAAACGACUGGCAUGUGUUGUAAAAAUAUCAGACAAUAUUAUGACAACCAUAACCACCAUACCGACCCACGCUGACAUAAAAAACACCCCAAAACACACUGUACACAUGAUACAAAAUAAGCAUUUACAAUGUGAAUCAUGAAAAGAACUUUUAAAAAAAAAAAAAGGAAAUAGCUUCGUUUCAGUCAAACAGGAAUACC